GCAGAGAGACGGGUAGCCAGACAGACAGACAGACAUGGAGUAUCCGAGUGUCCGACCUCUCUGUCAUUUUGGGUCACUCGCUGAAAUGAAGAGACCAAGUUUUCACUUCGUUGCCUGGAUCAAUAAUACUAUUUCUCUCAGGAUGGUUGUCGGUACCGAUAAUGAUAUUAGUAAUUCACAACGGGAAAUUGCCCACCUACGCCGGUUACGCCAUUUCCUGCCUUUUUGCCCCUGGACUGUUUAUUCGCAUUACACUGACCAAUCUAAUACCAGUCUAAAACCAAUCCAACAGGCAAAUCUCAAUGGUGACUAGACUUUAAAAUCUGUUUGUGCUGAAUGACAAAAUAAGCUGGUUUUUAUCUUUAAAGCUUCUUUUUGAUUAUUUUCCAGUCACUGGGACUUGCUGUUUUGUUGAAAUAAAUGACCUAAUUAUCUGUACAACUUUAUCUUCCUAUUUUUUUUCUAUUGAUUUGUGGACAAUGCAGCCUAUUUUUUUUUCUUUAAAGAAUGGAUUGUUAAUUUAAAAAAACAAAUAAUUAAAAAAAAGUACAG